UACGUAGGUGGCAAGCGUUGUCCGGAUUUACUGGGCGUAAAGAGCGCGCAGGCGGUCGAUUUAGUCGCGUGUGAAAGCCCUCGGCUCAACUGGGGAGGGUCACGCGAUACUGAUCGACUCGAAGGCAGGAGAGGGUAGUGGAAUUCCCGGUGUAGUGGUGAAAUGCGUAGAUAUCGGGAGGAACACCAGUGGCGAAGGCGCCUACCUGGCCUGUUCUUGACGAUGAGGCGCGAAAGCUAGGGAGCAAACGGG
rnacentral:rRNA from 1 species